rnacentral:rRNA from 1 species
UGCGUAGGCGGUUUGGUAAGUCUCUUGUGAAAACUCCGGGCUCAACUCGGAGCCUGCAGGAGAAACUGCCGGGCUUGAGUGUGGGAGAGGUGAGUGGAAUUCCUGGUGUAGCGGUGAAAUGCGUAGAUAUCAGGAGGAACACCUGUGGCGAAAGCGGCUCACUGGACCACAACUGACGCUGAUGCACGAAAGCUAGGGGAGCAAACAGGAUUAGAUACCCUGGUAGUCCUAGCCCUAAACGAUGACUGCUUGGUGUGACGGGUACCCAAUCCCGCCGUGCCGUAGCUAACGCGUUAAGCAGUCCGCCUGGGGAGUACGGUCGCAAGGCUGAA